UACGAAGGGGGCUAGCGUUGCUCGGAAUCACUGGGCGUAAAGCGCACGUAGGUGGAUCGCUAAGUCAGGGGUGAAAUCCUGGAGCUCAACUCCAGAACUGCCUUUGAUACUGGCAAUCUCGAGUCCGGGAGAGGUGAGUGGAACUGCGAGUGUAGAGGUGAAAUUCGUAGAUAUUCGCAAGAACACCAGUGGCGAAGGCGGCUCACUGGCCCGGUACUGACGCUGAGGAGCGAAAGCGUGGGGAGCGAACAGG
rnacentral:rRNA from 1 species